rnacentral:rRNA from 1 species
UGCCAGUAGUCAUAUGUU